rnacentral:rRNA from 1 species
GGUGAACGCUGGCGGCGUGCCUAAUACAUGCAAGUCGAGCGAACGGACGAGAAGCUUGCUUCUCUGAUGUUAGCGGCGGACGGGUGAGUAACACGUGGAUAACCUACCUAUAAGACUGGGAUAACUUCGGGAAACCGGAGCUAAUACCGGAUAAUAUUUUGAACCGCAUGGUUCAAAAGUGAAAGACGGUCUUGCUGUCACUUAUAGAUGGAUCCGCGCUGCAUUAGCUAGUUGGUAAGGUAACGGCUUACCAAGGCAACGAUGCAUAGCCGACCUGAGAGGGUGAUCGGCCACCCUGGAACUGAGACACGGUCCAGACUCCUACGGGAGGCAGCAGUAGGGAAUCUUCCGCAAUGGGCGAAAGCCUGACGGAGCAACGCCGCGUGAGUGAUGAAGGUCUUCGGAUCGUAAAACUCUGUUAUUAGGGAAGAACAUAUGUGUAAGUAACUGUGCACAUCUUGACGGUACCUAAUCAGAAAGCCACGGCUAACUACGUG